GCAAAUCACUUCAUUCCUGAUUCUCUGACCAUCUUUUGCUCUGCAUAGAAUAAAAAACAAGAGUGUGUUUUUAUUCCCUUGAGAUUCCUGCUAACAUUUUCCCCCUUUUGCUUGCCUGUGGUUGUAUGUUACAGUAGUUUAGGAUGGAAUUAGCUCACAAGAGUUUUUGCAACAACAUGGUGCUGUCUUGUCGAAGACUUGCUCACUCCUCACAAAACUCCCUUUAGGCCAUAAAUAAAUUAAAACGUGAUUUUCUACUAAAAAGUUAAUGCUGUUCAUUGAGAGAAUACUGGCAAUACAGGAGCUAGGAUAAUCUAAGAACGGCUGCAAUUGCUUUUAAAUGACAGCAUCUUAAUGUCUGUAUUACUUUUUUCUUUCCCUAGGUAAGUGGUGUUUUAUCUUCAUUGCUUCAGGGAGUGUUGAUUUGUCUGGAUGAUCCUUAUACAUGAAAAAGCUCAAAAACUGACUCAAGAUUCCAGGUUUUGGAAGAGAGCCAUUCAUGCAAUGCCAAAGUACACAUCAAAAUGUGCAACAGAGAGUGUGGAGUGACACCAUCAACUAAAGAACUAGUCAAAGUUCCUACGAGCAUGGCGCCAUACAGCCAAUCUUCCUUCUUGGUUCUCAGUGUCUUCGAGGGUAGCUCAAAGGGUCACUGUCACAGUGACCAUGAAUUGUACAGGAAUCCUGUAGACAGUGAGAAGAUCAAGCCUUAAGAAACACCACAUUUAUCUAUUUGGAGGUAAACAGGACCAAACCUCUUAA
rnacentral:lncRNA from 10 species